AACGAACGCUGGCGGCAGGCCUAACACAUGCAAGUCGAGCGAGAUCUUCGGGUCUAGCGGCGGACGGGUGUGUAACGCGUGGGAAUAUGCCUCUUGGUACGGAAUAGCCUCGGGAAACUGGGAGUAAUACCGUAUGUGCCCUUUGGGGGAAAGAUUUAUCGCCACGCGAUUAUCCCGCGUUGGAUUCGGUAGUUGGUAGGGUUAUGGCCUACUAAGCCGCCGAUCCAUAGCUGGGUUGUGAGGAUGAUUAGCCACACUGGGACUGAGACCCGGCCCAGACUCCUACGGGAGGCAGCAGUGGGGAAUGUUAGACAAUGGGGGCAACCCUGAACUAGCCAUGCCGGGUGAGUGAUGAAGGCCGUAGGGUUGUAAAGCUCUUUCAGCUGGGAAGAUAAUGACGGUACCAGCAGAAGAAGCCCCGGCUAACUCCGUG
rnacentral:rRNA from 1 species